UAAUACGUGAUCCCUAAGCGUUAUCCGGAUUUAUUGGGCGUAAAGCGUUCGUAGGCGCCCCACCAGGUUUUCUGUUAAAUACCUAGGGCCUAACCUUAGGACUGCAGAAAAAACCUGUGAGGUAGAGGGCAUUAGGGGCUGAAGGAACGGCCGGUGUAGGGGUGAAAUCCGUUGAUAUCGGCCGGAACACCGAAAGCGAAGGCAUUCAGCUAGGAUGACCCUGACGCUGAGGAACGAAAGCGUGGGUAGCGAACGAGAUUAGAUACCUCGGUAGUCCACGCUGUAAACGAUAGACACUAGCUAUUUGAAGUGUCGACCCUUCAAGUGGCGAAGCUAACGCGUUAAGUGUCCCGCCUGGGAAGUACGGCCGCAAGGCUA
rnacentral:rRNA from 1 species